rnacentral:rRNA from 1 species
AUUGAACGCUGGCGGCAUGCCUUACACAUGCAAGUCGAACGGCAGCACGGUGGCAACCCUGGUGGCGAGUGGCGAACGGGUGAGUAAAGCAUCGGAACGUGCCCAAUAGUGGGGGGAUAGCCCGGCGAAAGCCGGAUUAAUACCGCAUACGACCUGAGGGUGAAAGCGGGGGAUCGCAAGACCUCGCGCUACUGGAGCGGCCGAUGUCAGAUUAGGUAGUUGGUGGGGUAAAGGCCUACCAAGCCUGCGAUCUGUAGCUGGUCUGAGAGGACGACCAGCCACACUGGGACUGAGACACGGCCCAGACUCCUACGGGAGGCAGCAGUGGGGAAUUUUGGACAAUGGGCGCAAGCCUGAUCCAGCCAUGCCGCGUGCGGGAAGAAGGCC